GCUCUGGGAUAGCUCAGUCAGUAGAGCAUGGGACUCUUAAAUCUCAGGAUCAUGGGUUUGAGUCUCACAUUGGGCA